rnacentral:antisense_RNA from 1 species
GCGACUCAGGUUCCGCACUUCGUCAGGUUGUUGGCUGGCACCAGUAUGUGACGUUCCCAGGAACUUAGCUCUGAGGAAAAAGCAAAGCAAACGAGGGAAGUACGUAGCCUUGAACCGGAGUAACCAGGGACAGAAAGGAAGGAAAAGUGUUCUCAUACCUUGACGGAAGGAAGCUGGCUCCGUCCGCCUGAGGAGGAAAAAUAAGUUUAAACCUUUCUGUGAAAAAGAAAGAACGUUGAGCCCUUUCAGCCGAAUGGAAACCCGCUAAACCCCGUUAUGGAGUCCGUUACAAUUAAGCAUCUAACCGGGAAUUAUCUAUGGACACAACUCUCCAGGCAAUUCAUGCAGAAAGUGUUGACGAUUUCCUGUUUCUCGCAGAGCGCUUCACCGUUAAGGCUCUUAGCUGGCGAUUGUAAAGCACAUUUUCCGCUUCAUGAAAAUACAGUGCUCUUCUUGUGUUUGUAA